CACUUUAUAAGAAACGUAUACCCUAGCUUGCAAUUCUUCUCUCGUUGCCGCAUUGCCGCACAAGCUUCUUCCUCGAUCGUCUUCCAUCUCUUGCUCUCAGGUGUGUUUGGGUAGGAAUGGAGUCACAGAUCAAGCAUGCUGUGGUAGUCAAAGUAAUGGGUAGAACUGGAUCCAGAGGGCAGGUGACUCAAGUGAGAGUCAAAUUUCUUGAUGAUCAGAAUCGUUACAUUAUGAGGAAUGUGAAGGGACCUGUCAGGGAAGGCGAUAUUCUUACCCUACUCGAGUCUGAGAGGGAAGCAAGGCGGUUGCGUUGAUGGAGAAUUGCAGUUGCUUCCAUUGUUUUUGACUCUUUGUAAGUGUGGAUCCUUUUGUUCUGGGGAUGAAUGUGUGAACGGGUUUGGUAAUUUAAUUGAGUUUUGAUGAUAUCAGCUGUGUGAUCCACACUUGUAGGCUUAUCAUUGAUGAUUUUGUGUUCUUUUCAUAUAUUGGUUAUGCAUCACCUAAUACUCUAUUUGGCAGCACACUUUGCACUGUGCACUUGCAUUUAUAAAUAUUAUAAUCUUUAUG